rnacentral:rRNA from 1 species
UGGGGAAUUUUGCGCAAUGGACGAAAGUCUGACGCAGCAACGCCGCGUGGGUGAUGAAGGUCUUCGGAUUGUAAAACCCUGUCGUCGGGGACGAAGGUAGGGGGGUUAAUACCCCUUUUGCUUGACGGUACCCGGAGAGGAAGCCCCGGCUAACUCUGUGCCAGCAGCCGCGGUAAUACAGAGGGGGCAAGCGUUAUUCGGAAUUAUUGGGCGUAAAGGGCGCGUAGGCGGUAAUUUAAGUUGGAUGUGUAAUCCCCGAGCUCAACUUGGGAACUGCAUCCAAGACUGGAUUGCUAGAGUGCUGGAGAGGGUGGUGGAAUUCCUCGUGUAGCGGUGAAAUGCGUAGAGAUGAGGAGGAACACCAGUGGCGAAGGCGGCCACCUGGACAGUAACUGACGCUGAGGCGCGAAAGUGUGGGGAGCAAACAGG